AUUGAACGCUGGCGGCGUGCUUAACACAUGCAAGUCGAACGAAGCACUUUUGAUUCUUCGGAAAAGAAAGUGACUGAGUGGCGGACGGGUGAGUAACGCGUGGGUAACCUGCCUUAUACAGGGGGAUAACAGUUGGAAACGACUGCUAAUACCGCAUAAGCCGACAGGGCCGCAUGGCCUGGUUGGAAAGGAUUUAUCGGUAUAAGAUGGACCCGCGUCUGAUUAGCUAGUUGGUGAGGUAAUGGCUCACCAAGGCGACGAUCAGUAGCCGGCUUGAGAGAGUGAACGGCCACAUUGGGACUGAGACACGGCCCAAACUCCUACGGGAGGCAGCAGUGGGGAAUAUUGCACAAUGGGGGAAACCCUGAUGCAGCAACGCCGCGUGAAGGAAGAAGUAUUUCGGUAUGUAAACUUCUAUCAGCAGGAAAGAAAAUGACGGUACCUGACUAAGAAGCCCCGGCUAACUACGUGCCAGCCGCCGCAGUAA
rnacentral:rRNA from 1 species